AUGUGUGAAUGCAUACCCGCAUGUGUCUGUAUGUAAAGGUUUCACACUGAACAAGUUAUGCACAAAACGACAAAGGAAAAUACAUUAUAUUUUUUCUUAAGAGUAUAAUACACAAGAUUUAUCAGAACAUGUCUAUGGUUAGUUUCUCGAACCCUGUUGAUAAUUCGUGGCUCUCCGGUGUAUGGAACCAAGCGAGCGAGUCCUUCAGGAUGUCCCACUCGAAGAUUCACCCUUACCAGUUCAAGGAGCAGAGCCUCAUGACGUUCCGCUUGUACGAAAUGAUCAUGACGAAGGGCGGGAGCGUCCUGCGUUGGGUGCUCCUAUGGGGAACCCCGAGGCGACGUCCCAAGCAGUCCUUUGACGAGUACCUGGUCGAGGUGAAGGGCCUCUCUCGCGCCGUCGUCAGGAAGAGCUUCAACCACAGCCAGCGGGAGAAGAUGGAGAGGGAGAUCGGGUGGGACAUGUUCGACGUGACGCUGCUCUACCAGUGCAUUCAGUUCGGGUGCGAUGGCCUCGCUCCUCCGAGGGACAGGAGGUGGGUGGAUCCGGCGGACAGCCUCGAGCGCUACGUCACCUCCGUCAAGAACUUUAGGAACGACCUCCUGCACGAGGAGUAUAGGAUCGACGGGCUCACCUUCGUGGCCAAGACGGAGGAACUGAGGGAGCUCCUGACGAAGACCCUCAAGAAGGCUGCCGAGGUCUUCAAGGUGGACGAAGCUCUGGUGAAGAGCAUCAUCCAUAAGCUGGACCAAGACAUCAACAAUAUCAGAGACAAGCCUCUGGAAGCGUCUAGUGGACAGAUGUACAUCUCGGAUAGCCUUCGACAUUGCAUCUGCACUGAAGGAAAACUUGACAUGAAGAAGAGGUAUAAACAGCUGUCCUAUUUUGGCCCCGCUUCCAGCCUCCUCGGCGACAAGGCUGUUGUGCGCGUAGACAGAAUCUUCACCCAGAUGAAAAUGAUCAGAGAAGAGAGUGAGGAGCCGAACCCAGAUGAAAGUGAAAUUGAUAUAGAAUAUAAUGACCUGUUGGAGUUUUUGGAAAACAGACAGAGCCAGAGUAACAAGACCAACACUGCAGUCCUGGUGGAGGGUCCAGCCGGCGUUGGCAAGACGACACUAACCAGGAAAAUGGUGAGCGACUGGGCACAUGAGACGACUGCUAUGAAACACCUUAUUGACUAUGAUUUACUGAUUCUCUGUGAGUGCAGAGACAGGUACAUCGUGUCUCUUACUCAUCUUCUUGAAUCUUUGAUGCCAAGCGCAAGCAGAAAAGUGCAGCGAGAAGACCUGACCAAGUGCAUCCAAGACAGGAAGCUGCUUUGUAUAAUAGAUGGAUUAGACGAGCUAAACCCAUCCUCGGAACAAGUUUUUAGACAAAUCCUGAAGAUGGGAGAGAGCAACGAUGUCACCCUCAUUUGCACGACGCGACCAAGCAAAGUCCCUUCCUUCAAAUACUUUCUCCCCGAAAACUUUGCAGUCAUAAAGGUCAGGAUCACAGGCAUUGCAGAAAGCAGACGAGAAGACUUUGUGCGGAACUACAUCCAGGCGUUGUCUUUUGAAGCCAAGUACGAGGACAUAUCAGGACUCCUUCAGUUCUUGAAGAAGACGGAGAGCCGACUCCAAGACCACUGGCGGAUGCCCUUCAACUUGGUCCUCUUGACUAUCCUGUGGUUCCUGGACACGGCCGCCGUCAACAGCUUGACCACAGCGACGGAACUCUUCAUGACAACGCACAAAGUAAAUCAGAGGAAAUUGCAGAAGAGGUUAUUUGAGCACGAAAAGACACGGAGCUUGGAACCGCACGAGCUGAAAGAUAAGAUAAACAAAUUCCUCCGGAGGCUUUAUAAGGAAGCUUUGAUCAACCAUUAUGCCGACGACACGGUGUUAUCUGAGGCAUCGUUGCAAAGGCUUCAGGACACAUGCAACUUCCUGCAGUUGCCUUCAGCCGAGGUCCUGAGCGCUUUCCUCAUCCAGUCAACGUCGCUGAUGGACGAGACCAAAACCAGAUACAGCUUUCCCCACAAGAGCAUGCAGGACUUCUACUCCGCGCUCCACAUCACCGAGACGCUCGUGGCCGAGGAGAUCGGACUGGACAUCCCGCGCAUCAUCUCGACGUUCGAAAAUGCGCUACAGAGCAUCGGCGCUCCGACGUCCCUGAGCCAGUACAUCGACACGGAAAAGAUAGCCCAGCAUGGAGCCUCGGUGCCCUCCCGGUCUCUCGAAAGCGUCCUCGAGGAAGGGGCCAAAGAGGCUGCGAAAUACGUCGCCAAGAAGGUGGCAGAGGACAAGGCUGUGCAGUGGAAUCUCCGAGAUUACCAGAACGUCCUGAGUCACUGUGCUAGUCUCCUACACGUCUUCGGCGCGACCGUAUCGGAAACCAGGGCUGCGGAGAUCGUGAGGCUCCUAAAGGCCUCGGGCAUUACCGACAGAGACCAGUGGUUGAACCUACUCACCGAGAUAAAGUGCGAUGCAACCGUUGCCAAAUACAUUGCCUAUGCAAUGGACCUGACGGGCACGGUGCAAAUCACAGAUUCUAACGUCGAGGCAUAUGCAAGCGUCCUGAGCCACGGCUCCCCUUCGCGCGUGGACAUAUACAUAAAAAACGACCCUCAGAGUGUCCCAGGACUGACGAAGCUCUUGAGGACUUUGAGUCUCAAGACCUGCCAGGUGAGGCUAGACAUACAGGACGACUUCCGGAAACCCAAGAGGGAUGGCAGCGUCCUUGAGGAAGCUCUGGAGCAGCUCUUCCAGAGCUGCCGUGUGACCCACUUCAGCGGUCAGCUCGGGAAAGUAGCGGCUGAGAAGCUGCCAAAGUCAGUCGAGGUCUUACGAAUAGCGGUGGCCGAUGACAGCCAUUACCAACAGCUGAGUCAGAUUCUGUCAACUCUACGGCAUAGGGUGCCACGUUUGGGAGUUCUGUGGUUACACUUAAGGGCGGGGAUCGACACCUCAACACUACAACAGCUUCCCAAGAUACAAAGUCUACAUGUAACGUUCAGCGGUGUAGACCAAACGACUGUGAGAUGGGCGUGUACAGCUGCCUGCGCACUUCAACCCAUGGGCGGCUGCUGGUACAGAAGCCUCAUGUUCCCCGGUAUAGCAAAGAGCGUACCCGCUUGUGAACAGCUGUUACUUGGCCUGACUUCGAAAGGUGUCAGAGUUGGUGUCAGAAUCGAGGUGUCACCCCAUCUGGCAUCUACCGACCUGAUGUAUUUACGUGACCUGACACGACAUCGCUACACCAUAAGCUCGGAGGGGGAUCAGAACCUCUGGAAUUGGCUGUUAUAACGGGGGAAAAUUCCACGCCAUGAGUUACAGCUGUAUCGACUUGUUUGUGUCAUGUCAAGUCUCGUAAACACACAAAUUCCAUCGUGAACAGCUCCACCCUGCUUUGUUUUAUUAUACACUGAUAUUACUAUCGAAUUUGUAUUCCUUUUUAUUUAGCGUGGUUUCUCUUUGGCAAGUAUUUUUUAAAGGACGUUAGUAUUCUGUUGUAGUAUCUCCACUUUUGAUGUAAUGUGUCUUGUCUUCACGUUUUCUUUGAAAAGUUUUAGAAAACGAAUCUAAGAGGGUAACUCUUAUUUAUUUAGUGAUGAGAUGCUUCUGUUAGUGUGAUCAAUGUAUCUAACAUGUUUGAUAAUUUAGAUAGCUUAGGAGUAUUUACGGGAGUGACACACACACACACACACACACACACACACACACACACAC
rnacentral:misc_RNA from 1 species